AUCAAGAAAAGAGGCAGAAAAUAAAAAGAAAGAGCCAGAGGAUGUGGAGGGAUGCUGUGAAAUGCUAUCUUCAGGACACGGUGUCACCAGUGUACUCAUGAACUCAUUGCAGCUAUGAUUACCUAUAUAAGAUCAAGUUCAUGUUAUCAGCCAGCAUGCCAGCAGACAGCAGUGAUUGGACUCAACUUUGAGAAAGGCAUGCUGGGAUUUACUUUUUUGAAGAGAAUAAUGAAAGAAAGUUGUGUAUUCUAAACGUGGUUGUAACAAUCGUCCUGUGUUCAGCCAAUGGGAUCUUCAGGCUGUUUGCUCUGCCCAUGAUUAAUGAUCCGACCCUGAAGAAGAGACCUGAGGCUGAAUACUAAACUUGAGUCCUGACUGCUGAGUGAGAACUGAACAGGACAGCUCUCUGAGCUCUCUGGGCUGGUAGAAUAUGAAGAGUGAGGGAAGGAGAAUCAUCUUGCUCUACUACUUUCUUUUCCUGUGAAUCUUGGGAUCUUGAGAAAAAUGGCAAGAUCUCUGAACCACAUGAUCCAU